rnacentral:rRNA from 1 species
UUUUAAGAGUUUGAUCCUGGCUCAGGACGAACGCUGGCGGCGUGCUUAACACAUGCAAGUCGAACGAAGCUUGAUUACGGAUUCUUCGGAUGAAGUAUGAUAUGACUGAGUGGCGGACGGGUGAGUAACGCGUGAGUAACCUGCCCUUCAGAGGGGGAUAGCGUUUGGAAACGAACGGUAAUACCGCAUAAUGUAUUUUGACCGCAUGAUCGAAAUACCAAAGAUUUAUCGCUGAAGGAUGGACUCGCGUCUGAUUAGGUAGUUGGUGGGGUAACGGCCUACCAAGCCGACGAUCAGUAGCCGGACUGAGAGGUUGAUCGGCCACAUUGGGACUGAGACACGGCCCAGACUCCUACGGGAGGCAGCAGUGGGGAAUAUUGCACAAUGGGCGCAAGCCUGAUGCAGCAACGCCGCGUGAAGGAAGACGGUUUUCGGAUUGUAAACUUCUGUUCUUAGUGAAGAAUAAUGACGGUAGCUAAGGAGCAAGCCACGGCUAACUACGUGCCAGCAGCCGCGGUAAUACGUAGGUGGCAAGCGUUGUCCGGAAUUACUGGGUGUAAAGGGAGCGCAGGCGGGUGAUCAAGUCAGCUGUGAAAACUACGGGCUUAACCCGUAGACUGCAGUUGAAACUGUUCAUCUUGAGUGAAGUAGAGGUUGGCGGAAUUCCGAGUGUAGCGGUGAAAUGCGUAGAUAUUCGGAGGAACACCGGUGGCGAAGGCGGCCAACUGGGCUUUAACUGACGCUGAGGCUCGAAAGUGUGGGGAGCAAACAGGAUUAGAUAC